UGAGUACGAGACGCUAAGGCGUCGAAGUAGUGUAUGUCAUACUUCCAAGAAAAGCUUGCACUAUCAUAGAUAAAAAACGCCUGUACCAUAACCGACACAGGUGGGUAGGUAGAGUAUACUAAGGGGCGCGAGAUAACUCUCUCUAAGGAACUCGGCAAAAUAACUCCGUAACUUCGGGAGAAGGAGUGCCUUAUUAUUAAGGUUGCAAUAACAAGAUCCAAGCAACUGUUUAUCAAAAACACAGGUCUCCGCUAAGUCGUAAGACGAUGUAUGGGGGCUGACGCCUGCCCAGUGCCAGAAGGUUAAAGAAGUUGGUUAGCAAUUGCGAAGCUGAUAACUGAAGCCCUGGUGAACGGCGGCCGUAACUAUAACGGUCCUAAGGUAGCGAAAUUCCUUGUCGGGUAAGUUCCGACCCGCACGAAAGGCGUAAUGAUUUGGAUACUGUCUCGGAGAGGGGCUCGGUGAAAUAGACUUGUCUGUGAAGAUGCGGACUACCUGCACCAGGACAGAAAGACCCUAUGAAGCUUUACUGUAACUUGAAAUUGAAAUUGGACUUUAUUCGCGCAGUAUAGGUGGGAGGCGUUGAUUAUAAUCUUGCGGGAUUAUUGGAGCCAUCAGUGAGAUACCACUCUUGUAAUGUUAGAUUUCUAACUUUGAAUCAUUAUCUGGUCAAAGAACAGUUUCAGGCGGGCAGUUUGACUGGGGCGGUCGCCUCCUAAACGGUAACGGAGGCGUACAAAGGUUUCCUCUGAACGGUUAGAAAUCGUAUCUAGAGUGUAAAGGCAUAAGGAAGCUUGACUGUGAGACCUACAAGUCGAGCAGGGACGAAAGUCGGUCUUAGUGAUCUGACGGUACUGAGUGGAAAGGCCGUCACUCAACGGAUAAAAGUUACUCUAAGGAUAACAGGCUGAUCUCCCCCAAGAGUUCACAUCGACGGGGAGGUUUGGCACCUUGAUGUCGGCUCAUCGCAUCCUGGGGCGGUAGUACGUCCCAAGAGUUGGGCUGUUCGCCCAUGAAAGCGGUACGCGAGCUGGGUUCAGAACUUCGUGAGACAGUUCGGUCCAUAUCCGGUGUAGGCGUUAGAAUAUUGAGAGGAGCCUUCUUUAGUACGAGAGGACCGAGAAGGACAUACCUCUGGUGUACCAGUUAUCGUGCCAACGGUAAACGCUGGGUAGCUAUGUAUGGAGUGGAUAACCGCUGAAAGCAUCUAAGUGGGAAGCCCACCUCAAAAUAAG
rnacentral:rRNA from 1 species